CGUUUCAAGUUUUUCGAGAAUACUGUAUACAACUAUACGACAAUAGACUGUUUGAAUUCGCACGCAGGAACUACUCUAACUGAAUUCAAGAUGAGAAAAUCGUAGCAUCUUUAUCAGGGAGAAUAAAAAUUCUUCCAAAAGUUCAGACAACCUCUAUCUCUAUGAAGAAAAGGAUUUCUGGGACACAGCAGAAUUCAUUCUUCUAUCAAUCACAGCAAAUUGUCCUGAUCCUGAGGCAGCAAAACAACUCUGGACCAUCACACUGCCACCACCAGGCUCCACUGUUGGCAUAAUGUUCUUUUUAUCAAAUGUUGUGCAAUUUUCCAAAAAUUUACAUUUUUGACUUGUCAUUCCACAGAAUGUUUCUCAAAAAGUCUAGAGGACCAUCAAGAUGUUUUUUGGCAAAUGUGAGACAAGCAUUUGUAUUCAUUGCUCAUAGCAGGUGUUUUCACCUGGGAUCUCUCCCAUUGAUGCCAUUUUUGGCCAGUGUCUUUCUUAUGGUAGCGUCAAGAACUCUGACCUUAACUGAGGCCAACAAGGCCUGCAGGUCUUAAUAUG